AGCAACUUGCUGAACCUCUCGGGCCUUGCCCUUAGCGGAAUCGUUUUCACGUUCACGAACGGCACCACGCUUGCCCCGGAUGAAUUCUUUGUGCUGGCGCGUAACGCGGCGGCCUUCACGAACAAGUAUCCGGGCGUUACCGUCAACGGCCUCUACAGCGGCAAACUCGACAACGCUGGUGAGCGCCUCACGCUCUCGCAUGCCCUGGGGACGAGCAUUUUCUCGGUCGCUUACGAAGACGAGGCUCCUUGGCCAGUGGCGCCCGACAAAGCUGCGUUCUUCAUCGAUGC
rnacentral:misc_RNA from 1 species